AACGUAGGUGGCGAGCGUUAUCCGGAAUUACUGGGCGUAAAGAGAGUGUAGGUGGUUUGAUAAGUCACAUGUGAAAUCCCUCGGCUUAACCGAGGAAGUGCAUGUGAUACUGUUGAACUAGAGUGCAGGAGAGGUGAGUGGAAUUCCUAGUGUAGCGGUAGAAUGCGUAGAGAUUAGGAGGAACACCAGAGGCGAAGGCGACUCACUGGACUGUAACUGACACUGAGACUCGAAAGCGUGGGGAG
rnacentral:rRNA from 1 species